rnacentral:rRNA from 1 species
AUUGAACGCUGGUGGCAUGCCUUACACAUGCAAGUCGAACGGCAGCACGGGGCAACCUGGUGGCGAGUGGCGAACGGGUGAGUAAUGCAUCGGAACGUGCCAUUGAGUGGGGGAUAACGUAGCGAAAGUUGCGCUAAUACCGCAUAUUCUGUGAGCAGGAAAGCAGGGGACCGCAAGGCCUUGCGCUCUUUGAGCGGCCGAUGUCAGAUUAGCUAGUUGGUGAGGUAACGGCUUACCAAGGCGACGAUCUGUAGCGGGUCUGAGAGGGAUGAUCCGCCACACUGGAACUGAGACACGGUCCAGACUCCUACGGGAGGCAGCAGUGGGGAAUUUUGGGACAAGUGGGCGCAAGCUGAUCCAGCCAUGCCGCGUGAGUGAAGAAGGCC